rnacentral:rRNA from 1 species
UACGUAGGGUGCAAGCGUUAAUCGGAAUUACAGGGCGUAAAGCGUGCGCAGGCGGUUCGGAAAGAGAGGUGUGAAAUCCCAGGGCUUAACCUUGGAACUGCACUUUUAACUACCGGGCUAGAGUGCGUCAGAGGGGGGUAGAAUUCCACGUGUAGCAGUGAAAUGCGUAGAGAUGUGGAGGAAUACCGAUGGCGAAGGCAGCCCCCUGGGAUGAUACUGACGCUCAUGCACGAAAGCGUGGGGAGCAAACAGG